CCCUUGUUUUUACCGUUGCAGAUACGAUCGUUCGUGUCGAUAUAAUAUAUCGAUAGAUAUGUUCCAAGUAUCUUUAAAUUUUCUGUCAUAUCGACGAAAUAAAUAAAAAGCGAACCAGAGUUACGAAAAAUAGGUUACCUGGAGAAAGAAAGUAGAGAGAUCCAAAACGAGGGACACCCUGUAUAUGUUCACUUGUACGAUGGUGUACGACCUUCAACUACGUGACACGUAACAGGCUAGACGAAUUGUGUUAUGUCUCGUUGCGUUGCAUUUUUAUGCUUGUCAACUGAUUUAUGAAUGGCUGAGAAUGCUGAGAAGAUUUGUUUCAGAUGUAAUAUGAUGAUGCUAAUAUAAUGAUAAUGCCGAGUUUGAAGUAGUAACGAGACUUUGAUGGAAAGAAAAUUGGAGGUUAUGUAACGGGAGAAAGGAAAUUUGAUUUCUGCUUGUAACAAUAUAUCAUUAAAUUGGACGUAUGACCUUUCCCGUGAAAAUACGAUUAUUAUAUGAAUAGAUACAAUUAUUAAAAGGAGAUUAUCGUAUAAGUUCCAAUUACAUAUUUGCAGAAAAAAGAAAUAAUAAAAACGACGAAGACAUUCGUACAUGAAUGAUAAAGCUUUACAAUUUCAACAUCCAGCUGUUAGCGACAAUUUUAAUUAUCUGUAAAAAGCGAUGGUUACUGGAUAUUUACACCCAAUUAACGUGUACACACGAACGUUUCGGAUCUCAUUUAAAUUCUUAUGUAAUAUUACGCAAUAUCCAUAUAAUGCGUUUUCACUUUAAAAUUGUAUCACUUUCCUGAAAUAACGAGUCUCGAUUGUGUUCGCAUACAAGGCAACGAUCAUUUUGACUGACUUGGUCUUAAUGAUAACGUAACAGGUUAAGAACGCAUGAAAUGAAAGGUAAAUAAGGAGGUUCUAGAUCCGAGAAAGAAAGAAAGUGUUUUUUAUACGCAGGUGUGUAAUAUCUAUAGCAGACACCUGUAUCUUAAAAUGAGUACAAUUUAAGGUAAUAUAAAUCACGUAAAAUGUAUAUAAUUUAUACAUUAAUAUUAUAUUUUUGAUUUUUCGAUCUACUUAAUCAUUUUUAAUCUAAAUUAAUUAAUAAGUAUUGAAAACCUCGAGUUGACUAAAAUAUUAUUGACAAUCAUAAUGAGUGAUCGUACGAGUAAAUUUACGAGUUUUGAAACUACAGUAAUUUAUUACGUAGCAUAAUAAGUAAGAGAAAAAACGUGCCUGUCAAACUCUGCAUUUAUCGUGUAAACAGUUAAAUUGCUAUACCUAUGCUAAAACCAUACAUUUAACCGAUAAUAUCAAAUGUUAUUUAUCACCAGGCAUUGAUCGUACUUAAAGAAAUAAAUUAUUAUUCUCGACGAUAUUAUUGCAAUGAUGGUUGUUGAAAAAUAAAAUUAUGAAAUACUGGCAAAAAUCAAAAUGAUAAGACAACAAAGAAUGAGAUCGUAAAGUAUUGUGGAAACAGGUAUAUAAAACGAGAACAGAAAACGAAGAAUAAAAAUCAUAAAAUACGGUCCAAGGAUAAAAUUAUCCAAUAUUAAUAAACAAUGAAUUUAUAAAAAUGAGCCGAGGAUAAAAUCGUUCGAUGUUUACGAAGAAUAAAGUGAAAUAUAGGCGAAAGAUAAAGUCGUCCGAUAUUGAUGAAUAAAAUUCCGAUACAACGAAGGAUAAAACGAUGAAAAGUUAAUGGAAAACAACAGUUUAUGUAAAAUAUUACCAAAGAAUGGAAUGUGAUAAAAAUGAGAAAAUCACGAGGAUCAGGGAUAAUGAGAGCAGACAGCCCUUGGCCGAGUACAAUAGGGCUCAGGCAGUCUCGAUCGUGUCGAAUCGGUUACAUACCUGUUCGUACUGUCCAACUUUCACCGAAUAAGCCAGGGCUGCAGCCGCGGCCGUCAAAGUACCGCGCCCAAUGUCACGACGUGGUCCCUCGUAAUCGCGCCCCGUAUUACGUGUCUUGCUACACAAGAAACCGGUUCACUUUUGCCGGACCGGUUACAGAAAGAAUUCGACCAAAUGGACAAUGGAUCGCCCGCGGGCGAAACCCGAAUCCGUAUCCUUUUAUCGAUUUUUCAAUUAAACCGUGAAAUUACAUUAUUAAUAUUUCUUAUUUCAUAUUCAUUCAUAAUAUCGUAUUUGAAGAUUCUGCCUCGUAAUAUCCACAGUGGUCCGUGCGAGUAUUUGGACAUUUGUAGAAACUUUUCACGAAUGUAAUAUUGUACGAAACAUAUUGUAACAUUUUAAAAUUUCACCAACACUAGAAAUUAGAUUAUCAUGAUGACGUAUUGAUAUUGUUUCAAGCAAAUCGACCGAAGAGAACUUCUCACUGCAACCGGAGAUCCUCGAUGACUGAAUGAACGCGUAAUUCCGUUUGUGAGAAUCGUUUGAUGCUGCUGCGAGUUUCGCAAUGAAAGAUGUGGCCUGUCGUUUGAGCGAAAUUUAAACACUUAAUUUCUGAAAGUUCAAGGAUAACAUUAAGGUUCCGCAAGAGCGAUAUAUAAUAAGAUCACUGGUCCCUCGGUGGUUUUUAUUCCCGUGAAUGUUUGAUGAUCAAGGUUCAGUAAUGAAUAAUGGAGGACUAAAAAAGCUGACAGUUACGUUAUAAUCGUUUGAACGGAGAAGGAUAUUAUGAAGUUUAAACCGAGUUUUAUUAAUUAUCGCUAAGACAUUCCAAUCUAUUCUGAAUAUUAAUUUACUAUUUCUAAAACAGAAGCUAAAAAAUGCAACUAAAUGAAUUGCGACCGUGAGGAGGUACGGUUGAAAAUAUUUCUGAAAAUAUUUUUAAAUAAUCAUAAAUUACCAUUACGAUCAAAUUAACAUCGCAAUUAAGAUCGAAAUUCCCAAUGAAUUUUCACUGCAAAUAACAAAUCUCUACGAAUAAUUCUAUGUAUAUCUAUGCUUUCCUCGAAUCCGAAUUCUACCGAAUUCAGCGAUUGUUUCGGCGCAAUUCUUUCGAUAGAUUUAUUCGUAGAUAGAUUUGUUUUGUAAAACGAAUGUGAAAGCACGCGGUCCCGAUACCUCAUUGCGAGCAAUCAAUCGCCGAUUGAUAAUCGAGUCACGUAAACAGUAGAAGCAACUGCAGGUGCUAUCGUGACUGGGAUAUGCCUUUCUUCUAUGGAUUAAAAGGUUACAAGGCGUUUCUGCGGGCACGACAAUGAAAAAUGGAUGCGACUAUUACAAAAACCCGUGUCUCGUCGUUCUAAUGUAUUUUUCAUUAUUACGCAAUAAUUUAACCAUUAGAAGCAAUUAAACUACGUAAUCGGUAUCUCAUUUAGUCAGCCGUACGCAUAAAUCGUCAUAUAGAACUAUAAUCACGUAACUCAUUCAAUUGCGAAACGAUUUGUUACAGUCCAUACUAACAAGCAUAUUAAACAUUUGCUUUAUGAGUUAUCGCUAGCGUGACAAUAUUAUUUUUUCGUAGAACUUGUAGGGUUCCCCAGAACUCUAACGUAACGUUAUAACGAAGCAAAUUAAUGAAAAACAUUUUAUUAAUUAUCUCUUAAAUUAUUUCUCAAGUUAUUCAGAAAAACUUUGUUAAUU
rnacentral:lncRNA from 1 species